UCGUUGUGCAGCGGGAUCCGCAGGUCGUGCCCGUCGUCCACAAGGUGCCACAAUUGUGAUCCUGACCUACAUAUUUUUGCCCCUUAAUCGAAGCUGACUCCACCCACUCCUAAACCAAGAGCAAGACACGUUUCCUACUGAAUCAUUUAUUUUGGUUUUAAAGGUAGGAGUGCCUGUUGCGUUCCACGCUUUCGUCAACAGCUUGCUGGUGUGGACAAAACCAGAGAAGGAGUGAGGACAGGCUGCAUGGGAAGCAUCAGCCAGCGUCCCUUCCUCUUUCUCCACGCCGCCCUAGCCCUGAAGGACGAGGAGCAAAUGCAAUGAAAGGUUAUGGCCACCGUCAGAGCUCUCCAGCUGCCUA